rnacentral:rRNA from 1 species
CAGCAGCCGCGGGAAUACGUAGGGUGCGAGCGUUAAUCGGAAUUACUGGACGUAAAGCGUGCGCAGGCGGUUAUAUAAGACAGAUGUGAAAUCCCCGGGCUCAACCUGGGACCUGCAUUUGUGACUGUAUAGCUAGAGUACGGUAGAGGGGGAUGGAAUUCCGCGUGUAGCAGUGAAAUGCGUAGAUAUGCGGAGGAACACCGAUGGCGAAGGCAAUCCCCUGGACCUGUACUGACGCUCAUGCACGAAAGCGUGGGGAGCAAACAGGAUUAGAUACCCCGGUAGUCCCUGUCUCUUAUAC